UACGGAGGGUGCAAGCGUUAUCCGGAUUCACUGGGUUUAAAGGGUGCGUAGGCGGACCGGUAAGUCAGUGGUGAAAUCUCUGGGCUUAACCCAGAAACUGCCGUUGAUACUAUUUGUCUUGAAUAUCCUGGAGGUAGGCGGAAUAUGUCAUGUAGCGGUGAAAUGCUUAGAUAUGACAUAGAACACCGAUAGCGAAGGCAGCUUACUACAGGAUGAUUGACGCUGAGGCACGAAAGCGUGGGGAGCAAACAGG
rnacentral:rRNA from 1 species